UUUCCAUCCACCAUCAUCAGCAUUACCUCCUGUAGUAGUAGUUGAUGCUUUCCAACUAUUUCCUGGACUAUUCCAACUGGUAGUACUAGCACCACUUCCACUCGCAUUCUUUUCAGAGUCGAAUCCUUUCUUCCAUCCACCAUCCUCAGCACAAACUGUACUAUCAGCACUUUUCCAGCUGCCUUUGUUAUUGUCAUCUUGGCUCCAACUGCCCUUAUUAGAUUUCCAUCCCUCAGCAUCACUGCCAGAGCCUUUGCUCCAACUGUAGGGUUUAUCUUCCUGCGAAUCAUUUCUA
rnacentral:misc_RNA from 1 species